ensembl:lncRNA
GACGAAUAGUCCCCCUACCCGGAUGCGUCCGUGGGCGGCGCUUCUCGCCCGUCGGCCAAUGGGGCUGACGGCGCGGGGCGCGUCGCGCCUUCCCGUGGUGCCGCGCGGCGAGCGGCGGCAGGAGCGGCCGCGACUCCAUCCGGGUCUCGGCGCGGUUGCGGGUCACCCUGCGGCAGACUAACUUGAAGGUCCGGAAGUACCGCCCCCGAGCGCUCCUGAUUGGCGGCCCGGCCGCGCCGCCCGCCGGGGAUAGGCUGCGGAUGCCGUCAGCGCCGGGGAUUUGCAUUCACAUCUGCAGAAGAUGAGUUCGGACUGCACGUUACACAGUUUUCUGUUGCGUUUUCAGUAUACUCCCAACAUCAUUUACACAGAUCUGUGAGUCUUUGUGUGCAGGUAUACGUACCCAUGAAGUAUCUGUAAAAGCUUAGAAGCCUCAGGAGACUUUUUUUCUUUCCAUUCUGCUUUGUUAAGUGAAAUAGUGCAGGUGUUUUGCUCUGUUGUAGUCAUGCAGUAGUAAAUAAGAAACCCUGGCUUCUGCUCUUCAGCACUUAAUUAUGCACUGAUUUUGACACUCUGCAUGGUCUUCUUUUUCCUCCUUUUUUUUGGUUUCUAUCAAACACCAAACAGUUUAAAAAACAACACCAGGAAUCUCACUGGAGCAGUGUUGGGUUUAUGGGCAUAACAAGAGGCAAUUUCUAAACGAUAAGUAACUGAAAUGCAUCAAUAGGGCUUAGUUUUGAAUAGCAGAGAAGGAGUUAAAUUUAGAAUAGAAUACGUAGCAUUCAUCUGUGUAGUUUGCUUUGAGAACUAAAGAAUGAAUGCUCACUUAGAUGCAGAUAGUUUAAUAUUAACGUGAAAACUGAGUACAUGCAGAGGAAGUUGCUCCAAUUUGCAUUCCUGUCAUUCUUUGCUCACGUUCAAAAUUAUUAAUCAUGAUCACAUACUUUACUUUUCUGCAGGAGAUGUGCUUCAUUCCAUGCAUGAGUGGGCAGUAGUGACUCCUAAUUUCUUUCAAGCUGUGUUUCUGGAGAUUUAUAUUCCUUCUGUAACGACGUGGUCAGAAAAAUAAAUGAAAAUCAAACAUAAUAACUGCAAAUGGAACAAACCAGUAAUAUUUCACGUUAUAAUUAGUCGAAACCAGGCUGCUUUAUCUUAAAGCAAUUACAUGUAAGUGGGAUGUAGGUUUUUGGAAAAAGCUUGGCAUUUCUGGCAGAGACACGAGAUAAAGGCAUCGCUGAUGACACUCAGAGGUAUUAAUGUAGUGGACACUCAGCCCUGCCAGCUGCAUGCAUUUUGGUGCUGCUCAUAUUUGGAUUUAAAGCCUAUCUGUGAUUUGUAUGGCGCGCACUUUUACACUUACUCCAAUGUAUUGCUGCUAAAUUGACUACAGUGUCCAAAUAAAUACUAAAAAUUAGAUACAUACAUACCAAAUAAAUACUAAUAAUACUAAGUUUUAAGGUUUUGGGCUUAAGCAGAUGACUCUUAGAAAGGCUUCUGGCCUUCAUCACCACAUCUUAUGUUCUAAUUAAAGCAUGUUUGCUUUCUUGCAUGGGGCCUAUUUUCACUGUAGGUGAAUUUGUUUGGCACAAAGGAAAAAAAGAAACUCAUCUGGUUUAGUCCUAACCAUCACACACGAUUUUUGUUUGUUUUAACCUUAAAGCUUCAUCUUUUCUGCUGUACUUAAUUUUAUCCACUGAGAUUUUUAAAGUUGAAUUUAAACAUGAGAGUGAAAUAGUCUUUGGUAACAAGCUGUUUACAAAUGGUUGCCAAAUGGUCUUUUUGUUGAAGGAUGUACUGCAGCAUUAUAUACCUCAAAUUGAUGCAUCUGUUUAUCUCCACACCACAUAACAACAGAUGUCAGUAAAGCACAGUUAGGAUAAGAAGUGUUGCUUCUACAAACACCCUUUCAGCUUCGGGUUAUUAAUUCUCUGUUGCAAAAUUGACAAAAUCAAGUGGGAGGAUAAAACAUCCAUCUUUUAGGGUCACACUGAAACAAAAUGGGACUUUGAUUACUUUCACAAAGUCACAUUUUGUCCCUUCCACGCUGUAAGGGUGGCUUGAGCUGUUUUUCCUUCUAUUUCACAGGUUACAGACUGAUUAAGAAUGCUGGUGGUGUACUGCGUGCUACUAAAUGAGAACGUGUAAACGCCAGCAGUUUUUUUCCCUAUACAGUUUAGAACUGUUUCAGAGGUUUCAAAUACAUACAGUAGCUCAGGAAACUCAUGGGAAGCACUCUUCAGAAAGGCAGCGCCUCUUUAGGUUCUACUUUGUCACUUCUCUUGGAUGCUCAGUAGGAAUGAGGCUCCAUCAAGAUGAGCACAGUAUUAAAGUACAAUCCAAAACUGAAUUGAGAAUAGAAAGAGUUUUUAACUCACACUGACUAAAGCUUUUGUUUCAGUAAUUACGUGAUCUUAGACUCUUCUGGAAGGAGUGAUGAGAUAUGGACGUAGUGUGUGACAGCAGUAUAGGGGCAGCCGAGGGGAAGCAACGUGGAGGAUAAUUAAGUUUGCAUCAAUCACAGUGUUGUGCCUGCAAUCCCCCAACACCCCCAGUCAAAAAAAAAAGCAAGUUUGCAGGUCUGCACGUACUCACUGUGGAAGGUGGGUGUGUGGGGUCUUCACAGGGGGCUGGAGGAGGUGGCAGAAAUUCCCUCACCAAAAGUGGCAGUGGGAGUCCAAGUACAGCUCCAGUGCAGGUGACGCCACUGAAAUUCUGGGGCAGAAGCAUCAGAAGUUGGUGUUAGUGCUUGCAAUGUGAAUGCUAGAGCUCCACCGUGUGGUUACAGCUGUGCACUGUGCACAGGCUGGGCCCUCAGCCCCGGGCUGCAGUGGCCAGAUCAAUGGAGGAAAUAUUGGCAGUGAACUCGGGCAGCUUCAUUCGAUGCUCCACGACAGCUGCACAAUUACAGUGCCAUUUGCUUCACUUCUACUGCUUUGCAGAUUUUUAAAUACAGGCAAUGUGGUGACUGGAAAAAACUACUUUGAACACAGCAGUUGAUAAGGAAAACAAAUGCAUAUUUCUUAAAACACAAAAAAUCAUGACGUCUUUACUGCUAAAGCACUGAGCGUGCUGGUGGUGGCACAAACAGCUGUGCUGUACUCAGGCAGGAUAUCACCAGCAUGGUGACUUCGGUGCAAGGAUGUAUGCCAUAGCAGAUUCACACAAAGCUGAGAAGAUACCAAACGAGGGAGGCUGUGCCAGGAGUAUAGUUUAUCAGGCAUGCGGUACAUCAAGCUUCUCUGCCCAGGUGUGCCAGGAAUGCGUAAUGUGUAACAUCAGGGAAGCCUGGCAGAGCUCAUUCCAUGAAAGGACAAUGCAACUUAGGUGAGACUGUUUUUAGAAGCUGUUAGAAAUAACCAUUACCUGCAGAACUGGUGUGAAGCACAGCACUGCUGGGCUAGGCUUUGUAUGAAUGUCACACAACGCCUUCAAGAGACAGCUUGGGCUAGGAUUUUUGAUUCUUUUACUUCUAUACCUUUCUAUUAUUAAACAGAAUAAUAAAAAAGAUAGUAAGUACCUACCAGAGUAAUGUACCAUCAAUAAAACUGCUUUUCUCCUGUAGCUAAAAGGCAGGAUACGUGAUGAUCUCUCCCAAGGUGUAUUUGUUGCAGAAUGAGGUUUUCCUGGUGCCCUGUGUGCACUUCACCAUCGAUCUCAAGCCAGACUGUUGCAUAGAACCACAAGGUAACAAUUGGAUGUCAUUCAAAAUAUUUUUUCAAGGACAUUUUUGACCUUAAGUAAGAGAGAGCCCUUCCAGGCCUGUAAUAGAUGAAAGGCUCAUGUUUCUGGAAGCCAAAAGCAGACAAAUGCUUCAGGAGCUGCACGUACCUAACAGGAAAGUCUCACGGUGGCAGUAGAAAAUAGGUUAGAAUUUCCUGUAACAGAACUUAAUUGAGAAGUCCUCCUGUCAGUAGCAAUAAUAACAUUAAAAGCUGUUUAGGCUUUUAGUUCACGCCAUCUAGGGGUGGCAAAAUGCUACAGAUUAGAAUCUGUUCUGUAAUCUUAGCGUCCUCCUGGGUUCAUUUUAAAACAGGAAACUCAAAAGUAUCCUGUGUAUUUUAUAAGUUUUAUAUUCUUUUAAGUACCUCUUUUUUUUUGUACAGUAGCAUCUAUUUAGUUUUUCCAAAGCACUUAAAACAUUUUCAGCACAUUGGAGAAGCAGCAGCUUCAUCUUAAAGAUCCACCUGAAUUGAAAUGUCUUGGACUUCAUGGAUAAAUGACAAACUGAAAACAGCAAGCCAGCGCUCUCUGUAGCAAGGCUGGCUGGGCAGAGGCUCAGCAGUGCCUCUCCCAUGGAGGAAUGGGCUCCUUGCAUGAACUCUGCUCAGCUGGGGAAGGUUGGCACGUAGGAGUAAGGAACUGUGAAAGGACUGUCAGCAUCCUUACCAAAUAUUUGCUUGACAGCAGGAUGGCUAACUGAGCUAAUUCAAAGGAUGCGAUACGUGCCAGUGCUUCCCUGUCAUUUGCCUUUGUCCCAGUGCUACUGUUGUAAUUUAUUUGUGUUUUGGACAUUAGGACCAACUGCUUAUGUCCAUCUGUGCACGCUAAAGCACACAUUCUGAUCUGUGAGUGGUUACAAGCAAGACUUUAAGUGUGAUUCACCAAAAUUUGUCAUCAAUAUUUGUACAAAGGAUUCUGGAGUAAAGCUCUGAGGGGGCUGGAGAGUACUUCUAUUUUUUUCCUCUGUUCAAGGAAUAACGUCAUCCCUUUGUAUAUUAAUGCAUUGGAUCACGCGUUGUGUUUUUUGGCAAGGACAUUAACAUGCAUUAGGAGCUCUUGUUCUAUCAAGGCUUUGUUUGAUGACUGGUCUGAAAACCUCAGCUCAGAAUUGGGAUGAAGUAUGAGUACAACGUGUAUUUAACGUUUGAAAAUCUGUGCAUUUCCGUAAACACUUUCAGCUAUCUUAUAAAUUACAUUGAUAAAAUGAUGAGUUUUCCUCUUCAGCUCUGUUCUCAAGACAUCCUUGCUAAGAAGGGGACUGUAAGUCACAUCAGUCUGGCAAGUAUUUUGAUUUCAAUAUUGUUAGACUUUUUAGCUUGAGGUCAUGUUGAGCUCUGGUAACGUAGAAAUCAGCUUUAAAGCUCUAUCAGGAGCAGUCAGAGGAGCCCAGUUGUUUCUGAUCUAAAGGCAAUGUAUAUUUUAAGUGGCCUUUUGGUAAGGCAGUUUAACAAUUAAUGUCAUAUUAUAAGGCCUUAAUAAGUUUAUUAAAAAUAAUGUUUUUAAAAUAGUGAUUAAGUAGAAUAAAAAACAGUGAUUUCUUAAGAAUUAUAAAUAUUAGGGUCUUAUACUGAUCCAUGUAAAUCAGCUGCAUGGUUAUGGUCCUAGAUUUUAUUACUAUUAACUUCUGAAGAAAUGCAGAUCUGCAUAUGAUGUUUCUCAUGGACAUUUUCUUACAAUUUCAGAUAAGAGAUGACAUCUGUGGAACGCUAAUAGUAUUUUUCCUGUAACAGACAAGUUUAAUGACUACAGUUGCUAUGACUGCUGCAGCUUGCUAACUGUCUAAAGAUUAAAUACAUUAAGACCCAAACAGUUGGUAAACUUUUGAAACGAAGGAAUCUUAUCCUUACAGUAACAUCAUUGCAUGAGUGGAGAGAGAUGGGAAUGUUUUUUUCCUGUGACCAGCAUAGCACACUGUAAGUGCCUGCAGUUAGCUUAAGCUGUCUUUAUUAAAGCACCAUUCUUUGGACAUCACCUCUGAAGAUGCCUGCACUGUGGGAUGAGGUAGUAGGUUGUAUAGUUUUAGGGUCAUACCCGCAACUGGGAGAUAACUAUACAAUCUACUGUCUUUCCUAAAGCAGCAGAAAAUCAACAACGGAGACCGUUCAGUUUUAAGCACAGUGUCAGAUUGUCCCAAACUUCUGUACUCGGAGUGUUUAUUAUAGCAGACAAAUAUUUCUGCAACGCCUACAGGUAAUUACUUCUGGAUUUUUUCUAAUUCUCUACAUUAAUUUAUCUUCUCUAAGGAUAACACGUAAGAACAGAUUGAUUCCUUUAAGGUGGGGUAAUGGUUGAUGUUCUAAUAAGUUGUGUUAACACUGCUAACUGAAGCAUCAAAUAUUAAUACUCGAGAAUGAGACUGUGGUUAGCUACUUCAGCAAAGAGCUUAAGUACAUGCUUCUCUGUCAGAGUGAGGUAGUAGAUUGUAUAGUUGUAGGGUAGUUAUUUUACCCUGUUCAGGAGAUAACUAUACAAUCUAUUGCCUUCCCUGAGGAGUAAAACAAACUGCGGUCCUUUGCUGUUGUUUGUUUCCACGUUGAGUAAGAGUUUACUUGUCAGAUAAGUUCAGGGUUGGAGAGUAUCACAUUAAUCCUGUAAAUUCUGUCCUUAAUUAACGAUCAGUUUGAAUGGUGCAAAUCCCAAACCUUAUGGAACUAAUACAACUUUUCUUUCAAGGUGAGUGGCACAGCACUGUCUGGACAUCAACAAUGCAUCUCUUAUAGAUACAGAACUGAAUACACCAUAGACUGGAAAUCAUUCUAAAACGAUUUGGUUUUGAACCUAAAAGUAGUCUUGGCUCAAGCUUAUACAUGGUGACAUAAACUGUUUUAAUUUCUGUAAUACAUUAACAUUCCAUCACUGUUCUGUAGAAGCUGGGAGACUUACAGUCAUACUUCAUUAAUACGCCUGCUUAUUUUUCUCUAGCUCUCGUAGCCAGUGAGACUUAAACAAUGUAAUACAAAGAUUAAAGUGUUGAAUGGCCAAAAUUGAUCCCUUCAACUGUUUAGGAGAAUGUAAAGCUAUGAAAUUUGAGUGCUCAAGAUCCAGAAUUGUAACUUCUGUCUGAAGAGGUUACCGAUUUUAUAAGAAGGCAUUUAAAGAUUGUGUUCUUUAUACCCCAUAAGCGCUAGGUGUACCCCCAUCUAGCUGCUUCUGCCCUAGGGUGACCACCUAACAUCUUCCUAUAACAACAAGGAACAAAAAGCAUGAAAACAUUCUGAUGACUGAAAGUUUAGCGUAGUAAGAGUGAAAAUGGAGCCAUUAAUGAGUACUUAAGCCAGGAAUGUUAACUGGUUAACCACUUAUUAAACAGUGCUAACUGUAAACUUGUAGUACAUGCCCUGGCCUAAAAAUGCAGAAGACCAAAAGCAGCUGGUAAGCUAAGCUGGCUUCACAGAGCAGCUGCUAAGCAAGAAGAACUGCAGAAAGGAAGCAUUGGGCUCCUAGGAAGAGGUAGUGGGUUGCAUAGUUUUAGGGCAGGGAUUUUGCUCACAAGGAGGUAACUAUACAACCUGCUGCCUUUCUUAGGGCUUUAUUAUAACACCAGGACCAUUUUGGCUCCAUCCUAACCUCUGCAGCUUUGGUAUGUGAAGAGAAGUGAAGCUGUUUCUAAGCAUAUUGAGGUUUAAUGAAACUGGUGUCUCAGCAAAUUUGGUACAGACUUGAGCACAGUACUAUUAACUGGAAUUUGGUAUUGUGAAAUGCUGCAUUUCAGGGCACACAUGUCAUUUUGUUGACAUUGGUGUUGUGAUAACUUACAAAGAUAAUGAAAAAAAAUUCUAAGAGUAAGAUCAGAUUCCCUACAAUUAGGAUGGAGGUGUUACAUACUUCUUAACGUUCAGUUAAGUACUAAUGCUACAUACUUGCAAACAGGCAGCUAUAAUGCACCUUCCUUUGGCUUUGUGAAGUUUCCAAGGAUCAACUUAAAACUCACCUGAAAGCUGGUGGGUUCCUGCAGGCAGGAAUAGGUUCUCCCAAAAAGUCAUGCUCUGUCAUGGAAUACUUGCAGUCCUACAGGAGCGUUUUCAAAGUGAAUGACUGCACAUCUGCUGUGGGGUUGUAUGUUGAGAAGUAGAUAAUGCUUUCAUGUAAUUACAGUGCAGUACCACCAUUGUUCUGGUAGGGCUUCAUCCAGAUGUGCUCUGCUGUGGGAUACAGAGACCCUUAACUGCUGAUCAUCUUGGAAGAUUAAUGCUUUAUGCUUACAGCAGCCAGUUUUUAGAGUUCUGGCAAGACAGAAUCCUAGAUAUUAUAAACAUACUUAGUAUGUUAAUGGAAAUUGUCUAUUCAUUGAAGUGUACACACUUGAUUUACUCAAUAAAAGAAUUUUAUGCAACUCCUAUGGUGAAUUGACUUUACUUUCUACAAAAUAAGGAAGUGAAUUUUACAGGAAAACACCGCUCAGACUACUGAAGUGAAAUCAAGACCAUAUUAAAAGAAGUUUUAACAGUAAUUAGUGUAAAAAAUCCCAGUGUAAAUUGUGAUUUUUGAUAUGAGACAUCACUGAUGGGAGACGAGGGGAAUCCUUACUUACAACUUUACUGUUGAAUGCAUAGGAAUUCUGCUUACUCCAGAGCUGUUAUCUGAGCAUAAGUUCUAAUUGUUGCUCACGAAUGUAGACUUUUGAGAAGGUGAGCUCUUCUCUUGACUACACCUUGAUUUUUGCAUACAGUUGGUAAGGCAUCAGCAGGUACUAUUUAGGGAGGGAAAUGGAUACCCUGAAGUUUCAGUUUUUGCAGUAUUAAAACGCCUUAAAAGCUUCAGCACACUGAACACUAACCUGUGUAUAAGGUGUAUGCUUAUGAAAGACUUGAAUAAUCAAAUCAGUGCUAGCAACUGCAACACUGCAUGCUAUGUUAUUAAAGCCUGUGUUAGGGAAGAACUCUAACCAGAUGAAAACCAGCAGCUACAUAGGCCUGUUAAUGUUCAGUUUGGUAUAAUAUGCAAGUUUUAGGCUUGAUGUGCACAUAUCUGUCCUGCAAAUAUAACAUUUCAUGUUACUAUCAGUGCUGCUGGCUCUCUUUUAACAGUAUACGUUUGAAGACAAAAAGUACACGUAGCUUUUAAUUUAUUAGUUUGACUGAAGUUGUAAACAUCUCAACAUUGAAAAAAGGCACUGAUCAGAAAAUGUUAAAAACAGAACCCGUCUUCAUGGACUCCCAAGUGCUAUUUAGGUAAAAGUACCUGAAUUUUGGGAUUAGUAUCUCCACAUGCUUUCAGUGUACUGUAAGCAGAUAGUGGAAAGAGAUACUGCCAUGUCAUAUACGGUCCCUCUUAUAUAACAUAAGCAGCCUUAAGGAAGGCAGCUAAUACUCAGUUCAUCAUUAUUCUUUUAAAACAGUUCAUUAGUUCUUGAUUUAAGGAUGCUAACCCCUGCCCCUCAUCUGCUCAGUAGGGGCUGUCUCACCCACGGCAGGUGCAGGCAUUUCCUCCAUUG